UGAAGAACAUGACCUUCGGCGGGGGAUAGCCGGCCCAACGGCCGGGUAAUACCGCGUACGACCACAUGGGGACAUCCCUGAGUGGUGAAAGCAGCAAUGCGCCGAUGGAGUGCCUCGCGGCCUAUCAGCUAGUUGGUGAGGUAACGGCUCACCAAGGCAACGAUGCGUAGCCGACCUGAGAGGGUGAUCGGCCACAUUGGAACUGAGACACGGCCCAGACCUNUACCGGGGAGG
rnacentral:rRNA from 1 species